rnacentral:rRNA from 1 species
GACAGAGGGUGCAAACGUUGCUCGGAAUUACUGGGCGUAAAGCGCGUGUAGGCGGGCCGACAAGUCAGAUGUGAAAUCCCUGGGCUCAACCCAGGAACUGCAUUUGAAACUGUCGGCCUUGAGUGGUGGAGAGGGAAGCGGAAUUCCUGGCGUAGAGGUGAAAUUCGUAGAUAUCAGGAGGAACACCGGUGGCGAAGGCGGCUCUCUGGGACGGUACUGACGCAUGAGACG